GCUGACCGCACUGAGGUAGUUCAAACCUUAUGGCGUAAGACAGGUCAUUUCCUGGUGAGUUAAAAUUCCUUGUUCUCCUUAAGUCUUGAAGCAGCUUCAUGGAUUUCAUGCCUUUGCUCCUCUCAUUGUCUUUAUUCUUCACCAUUUUUCUCCUUCAUGGGUUUCUUUAUCCCUCUUUGAGGGUCUCCAUCCUGAUUAUGUAAUGCCUAUUUCUUUUUAGGACUCCUUCUCCCUCUAUGAUUGCUCUUACACAGCUGCUGACAUUUAUACUUUCGUGUAAUUCAAGUCUUCUGCAUAUUUUCCCGUUUUGUGAACAGGUACUGGUGGAGAAUGGAACAAAAGCUGGGCACAGCCUUCUCAUGGAUGCCAGGGAUCUGGUCCUUAAGGGAAAAGAGAAGUCACCUUUGGACCCUCGACCUGGUUUUGUCUUUGCCCCGUGUCCCCAUGAACUCCCUUGUCCCCAGUUGACCAACCUGGCCUGUAGCUUCUCACAGGCGUACCAUCCCAUCCCCUUCAGCUGGAACAAGAAACCAAAGGAAGAAAAGUUCUCUAUGGUGAUCCUUGCUCGGGGGUCUCCAGAGGAGGCUAAUCGCUGGCCCCGUAUCACUCAGCCUGUCCUUAAACGGCCUCGCCAUGUGCAUUGUCACUUGUGCUGUUCAGAUGGGCACAUGCAGCAUGCUGUGAUCACAGCCCGCCGGCACGGCAGGUAUGGGGGCUGUGACCAAAAUUAGUGGGAUGUGGCAGGAAGCUGCAGCCCACGCUAGCAUCUCGUUUCCACAGGGAUUUGUAUCGUUGUGCCCGUGUCAGCUCCUGGGGAGAUCUUUUACCUGUGCUUACUCCGUCUGCGUUUCCUCCAUCUACUGCUCAGGAUCCCUCUGAGAGUUGACGAGGAUGUGUAACAAGUAUUUUCUUCUAUCAUGCCUGCCAGGGCUGAAGCUGCCUGGUAUCCAGGAGGGGAAUGCUGGUAUCCCCAUAUGUCUGUGUUUGUUUGAGAUUUUUAAUAAUAAAUAAUAAAUUUUUAAAGAA
rnacentral:sRNA from 1 species